ACAAUGAAGAUCUGAAUUUUUUUUCUGCAGGCAGCCACGUAUUUUCAAGACGUUUCAAGUUCGUAUUCCCGUAUUUUCUUGCAGUCAUUGCAGAUGAGCAGAUAAUAUCCAGCUCCUGUUUAACCUCUGCAACUAGUGCACCAGGUGAGGGAAAUAGCUGUUUGAGAUUUGUCAUCCCUCUUCCUGUUUGUACUAUGCACGGCCAAGUAAAGGGAACACACCUAUCUCCUGGAAGAAGUUGAACAAGACCUGACAAGUGAGAAAUAGUUAUACUCUGUGAUACCACACAGCCCAUUCUAAGGGAUGAAUCCAUAACAGCAGUGCAUUCUUUGGAAUUAUUUCUGUAUCAUGUGGAUGCAUCUGAGAGAGUUGUGAAGACAGUUGGCUCAGUGUCUAUCAAGAAAGACAGAAGCACAUAUAUAUUAUUUUCCACACUUCUACAUAUUGUAGCAUCUUGUGUUUGUUUCUUAGGCAGGUUGCCUAAGAUGUCUCUCAGUGAAAAAUCAAAAUCCCCUUUGGAGUCAUAAACAUCUCCAGUCUUCCCAAAUACUAAGUUUGUGACACAGGAUGCUUGCAUUACUUCCAAUUAAUUUCAGUUUAGUUGCGAGGCGCUCCACAAUUUCAGUGGGAUUACAACUGAUUUGCCCAGGCAAGAGAGCUAUCAAACCUUCUAAUUCCUAGCAACUCCCAUUAUCCCCUAUCAGAUCUUAACCAUAAAUAAAUAAAUACAACCCCACAAAUGGUUACAAUGGAAGUGAGUAGAUUUUAUUAAAUGUGAAGUGAUACCUAAAUGUACUCAGAUGGAUGCUGAUACUCCCGUAUGGAUUGUUGCUUAAUGAAAUCUUGGUGUUAACAGCUCUUUUGGACAAGUAUCAUGUUUUCAGCAUACAGAGCUACUGUAAGCAUUCUUCUGGAAAACAACAAGAAAGAUUGCAUCAUUCUUCAGCCAUGGCUGUUAUUUAAUGACUACACAUUUUUGACAGUUUAUUUUUCUGAUCCUAUUUUUCGCGAAAGUUGCUCAGAUUUCACACCUGUUUAUUCAAUUUCAAUAACUAUAGGAGAAAAACGCUGUAAUCUACAGAAAUCUGAAAUUAUUUUUUCAAAGAGUUCUUGAACUAAAUUCAGAAGGAGAUUGUCAAUUCAUUGAAUCUUGCGUGUGCUCUGCAUUGUGCAGGGUGUGUGACUUGCCUCCAGAUGGUGCUCUCACAUUGACAUUUUAGAGUUCUGUUAGUGUUACAGUUUUCAUUAUUCUCUCAAAAUCAGCAUUAGCUCUCAGAUUAGCAAGAAAAUAAUUUGGUAGAAUGCGUGCCAAUGUACCAUAUGUUCAUUACAGAUAACUGAUAUUCCCUAGAUUUUAUUAGGAAACUACUUUUAGUUCUAGGAAAAAAUUUUACUGAAACUGUGUAAUAUUUUAAUACAAAGGUGGGAAUUCCGUGAACCUUUAAACCGUGUAAUGAGCAUUAUUUAAGCAAUAUCUUCAUGGUUGAGUAAUAUCAGCUCCAGCGAGGUAAUAA